rnacentral:RNase_P_RNA from 1 species
GGAGUUGGCCAGACAGUCGCUGCCAGCCAACAGCUGGCGGAGGAAAGUCCGGGCUCCACAGGGCAGGGUGCCAGGUAACGCCUGGGAGGCGCGAGCCUACGGAAAGUGCAGCAGAGAGCAGACCGCCGAUGGCCCUUCGCGGGCACAGGCAAGGGUGAAACGGUGCGGUAAGAGCGCACCGCGCGCGUGGUAACACGUCGUGGCACGGCAAACCCCACCCGGAGCAAGACCAAAUAGGGGGGCGAUGGUGUGGCCCGCACCGCUCCCGGGUAGGUCGCUUGAGGCGUGCGGUGACGCGCGUCCCAGAGGAAUGACUGUCCACUGACAGAACCCGGCUUAUCGGCCGACUCCUUUC